GAGAGAGAAAGAUAGAGAGAGAGAACAAGAAGAAGAAAUCAAAGUCCUAUUCAUCUUUGGUCAUUGGAGCUGACAGCUGUGAGCAGAAACACACCUGCAGAUGGAGAGUCUGCUUAGGAGCUGGAGGCGAGGUUGGAGGCAGGUGCAUUGGACAUGAUGGGGCAGGUUCCAGUCACUGCGCAAUCUGGGAUCUAGGGGGGAUCAAUAUAAGAAGUGUGUGUGGGUGCAUCAUCAGCCCUCAUGUGUUGUGUGGGGAUUUAACCUCUAAAUGUCAACACACAGUAACCAUGAAUAGGUAAUUCUGCAGUAACCGUGCUCCCAAGUGAAUCUGAGAGACAGCUACAGAGUACUACUGUGCACUGGGGAGAAAAGGAACCAUAAGUGACAAAUAGAGAGUCUUCCCUAAUUAGAGGAUCUUUGCUAGUAGAUCAUUUGACGUUUCUCCAGACUGGAGGAGCCAGAAAGACCUUCAA